rnacentral:snoRNA from 1 species
UGCAAAUGAUGCUAACAGAUGUUCAUUCCCUGAGCUUUGCUGAUGACUCCCUGCCACCAAGAUCGCUGAUGCA